GUCGUACAACAGUAUUAUCAAAAGACUACAAGUUUAUUACGCACUAUUUUUAUUUGAUUAGAACCCUAUUUUAUCUAUGAUGAACAUAGGCUAUAGACUUAAAAAAAAUCGCGAACGCUGCCGUCUAUUGUCAAUAGAGCAAAGUGAUGUACCAAGUUUUAUAGAAGACAUCAAUAUCUUCACAAAGCCGAUACCAUAUGUCUUAAAAAUAUUAUUUUUGCAUUUUAAAGUAUUAAUUAAGUAAAGCUAUUAGGCUAUCGUGCUAUGACCGAAUUAUUGCGAACCGUAGAGCACAGCUAGCUAGUAUAUAAUAUUAAUACCUUGAUAAGGGUCUUUGAUUUUCUUAUUGGGUGAUUACGUCAACAGUAAUUAUUUACUUUAUCCACACAUUUGCACACUAUGCUUGAAAUGAAAUGCAUUUCGAGGAUUCCUACAAAAAAUUAAUACGUUUAUUUCCUAUUAUUUUUGAGGGCUUUGCUUAGUUUUGCUGACAAGAGGAGGGGGGGGGGAUAAAUUCUAGGCUGUAUUGGGUCGUGACUCGUACUCCAUGGCUCACGCGGGAAGUGCCAUAGCGGCAGCAGCCAGUCCAAGCUAUUGCUGUUACGCAACAGAUGCAGCAAGUGCGUCGCACGGCGUCCCUCAAAGCGUCCUACGAAGCCGUGGCAAGAGACCUCUCACAUGCGCAUACGAAACACCAUACGACGCAUCGAUCAUGAGUCAAGAAGUAGAUGAUUUCAACCACACUCAAUAUUGAAAAGCCCAUGAAGAGCCCCAAUAAACCGCCGCAGUUAGCGAGAAAAUCAGUUUGUCCAUACAAUUCCGACCUGC